rnacentral:RNase_P_RNA from 1 species
UCAGUACAUCUGGCAAUCGUGGUGCCAUUGGCAUCAAGGAAAGUCCGGACUUCAAAGGGCAGAGCGUCCUGUUGUAAUGACGGGAACAGCGUUGAGCAAUCAAUGCCGAUGGAUAGUGUCACAGAAAAUAUACCGUCACGAUUUAUUCGUAUGAAUGAAUCGGGAUAAGGGUGAAAUGGCGAGGUAAGAGCUCACCAUCCCGUAGAGCAAUCUGCGGGAGCGAUAAACCCCGCUCGAAGCAAGAACGCGUAAGAGAAGAAUUUCUGCCACAGGUAGAAAGUGAAGUUGCCCGCUUCAUCCGUUUACCAUCUUCUCGGGUAGUUCGCAUCAGAGAAAUGAUUGCCUCUCCGCCUCUGGCGGAGAAACAGAAUUCGGCUUACCGAUGUACUGAAAUA